ACCCGGGCGGGGGGCGUUGGGGAAGCCGCGGCCUGGACCGGGACCCACAGCGGCGGCUCCACCUGGGGCAGGGCUCUGACCCGCACUCGGCCUGCGGUAAGCAGCGCCCCACUGCGCGAUGGGGGCUGAGGGC